UUUCUCUAUGAGGCCCAAUAUCUACUUACUUUGCCAAACAGCGAAAAGAUCAAAACAAAGUGCAUGCGAAAAUAGAAAAUAAUUUCUUACUCUGCCAAAAGAUUGUACUUUCUAAUUUAUCAUGGUGAAGUUCUAUCUGAAAAGGAACUGAUGUGUCUAAUUAUUUCUCUUAUUAGUUGUGUGAAAUAUGGUAUUGGAAUGAAGCUUGAGUAUACAUUAUGUUUUCUUGCAUUCUUAUUGUGAAAUUCAUGUGUGUGCCAUCGUGUUACUUGAACAAGAUUACGUGUAAAAUGUCUGUUGAUGGUUGUUGGUGAAAAUUUUUGAAUUUGUCUGGAUGGAUAGGCUGUGACAGCCAAAUUACAAAUUAUAAUUCCCAAAAUGAAGAUAGGCUGUGGCAUUGGGAUAUGAUUGGCGCCACUCUUUUGUCAGGAAAUUGCACGGUUGCCACAGAUGUUUAGUAUAUUAUUGGCACCACUCUUUUAUCAGCAAAUUGCUCGGUUUCCACAGAUGUUGAUAGUGUUCAAUUUUGUUGACCAUUUUUUGAAAUUGAUCACGUCACUUUGCUGCAACAUCAGGUAUAACUCUUUAGAUAUAUCGUGUUUUAUUCUCCAUUCAUCUCUCAGACUAAUUUAGCAUAUGUAUAGUCACAAAACUUCUUCACGCCUAUUUUGGCUGGAUUCAAUUGUUAAGAUGUUGUUUUUGGCAUCAUGUAAAGCCUCCCUUUUCCCAUGCUUUAGAAAAAAGAAAAGGUACUUGCCAAGUUCACAAUUGUUGCCAUGUAUCCUGUAUUGGAAGGAUUUUCUAGUUAGAAUUGAAGAUAUUUAUUCAAUUUUGAGAGUAUUAAAUAGUGAUGUAGGUUAAAACCAUUAUUGUCAAGGGUGGACUAUUGAACUCUCCCGGAAGUUGAUUUUUCUAUUCUUCAGGUAACUAUGUUAGGUCUUGGGUCAAUUUCUUAGGUCUUUACUGAUGUUUUUUUCAGUUUAUCUACUAAUUUAUGUAUGAAAUUCCCUGCACUAUACACCUGCUACUGAUAUCUAGAGUACAAGAUGUAUCUCUGUGGAGUUUCCUGACAGGAAAGCCAUUAUUUCAGGGCAAAAGCGUCAUUUACCAGUUGGAUUUGAUUAGUGAUCUUCUUGAAAUGCCAUCAGCCUAUAUCAUAUCUUGGGUAUUUUUUUUUUCUUUUUGACUUGCACCGGGUGUCCGAGACUCUUUGAGUCCCGACUAAUCCCGGGGGUGCACAGGCCCUCAGCAAGGAGUUUCCCGCAAGUGCACCACGGUUAAUUCAGGGUUUCACCCAGUCCGAUGGCCCUCAGAAAUUGUUUGCACCCAGUGGGAAUUGAAUUUGAGACCUUGACCUCAAGGCUCAAGCCAACUACCACCAGGCCAACCCCUGAGGGUUUAUAUCAUAUCUUGGGUAUUAGCCAUCUGUUGAUUUGUUUUGGUUGAUGGUAGCAUUAUCCAGCAGCAUACUGAAAGAAGAAUACUCCUCUUUGAGUGCAGGUUUCAAAGAGAAGGCAAGGAAGUAUUUGACAGAUAUGAGAAAAAGAACCUAGUUCGUUUUACUGAGAAAUUUUUCAAAAGCAGAUCCUUUGAUGCUUCGACUAUUGCAGAGGUUGUUAGCAUUUGAUUCAAAGGAUUUCCCAACUGCUGAAGAGGAAAAUGCGGGUAAUCCCAUUUGAAACGGUGGCCACAAGUCAUUUCGAUAUAUUAAGUCAGCGAUCAAGACUUUUUUAACAAUUAUAAUGUUUCAAUUUACACUUGGUGUUGUGGUGGAAAUUUUUGUUAGUGAACACCUGGAAAUGUUUUUUAUGACAUAAUACAGUACAUAUGUUUCCUUUUUGAA